GAUGAAGAACGUAGCGAAAUGCGAUAAGUAAUGUGAAUUGCAGAAUUCAGUGAAUCAUCGAAUCUUUGAACGUACAUUGCGCCCGCCAGCAUUCUGGCGGGCAUGCCUGUUCGAGCGUCAUUUCAACCCUCGAGCCCCCCCGGGGGCCUCGGUGUUGGGGGACGGCACACCAGCCGCCCCCGAAAUGCAGUGGCGACCCCGCCGCAGCCUCCCCUGCGUAGUAGCACACACCUCGCACCGGAGCGCGGAGGCGGUCACGCCGUAAAACGCCCAACUUUCUUAGAGUUGACCUCGGAUCAGGUAGGAAUACCCGCUGAACUUAAGCAUAUCAAUAAGCGGAGGA
rnacentral:misc_RNA from 1 species